UGCUUCCAAUCCAUCAGAACAUGAUGUGUUUCCCUUCUCAAAUGCCUCACGAGAUAUAUCACCCACAUUGUUACUUCCCAACGCAGGCGGUAACCCCUCAAGCUCUUGAAGGAGCUCAGUAACCACGUUUCGAUUUGUAUUAAAAUCAUAUCGCACCGUACCAUCACCAUUAAUGACCACAUCACUCACCCCUGCAUCCUCCUUAGGAACCUCU
rnacentral:lncRNA from 1 species